GGCUCAGAGCUGGAGUGACGCGGCCAAGGUCAGAGCAGGGCUAGAAGCAGCUGCCAAGCUCUCUGCCCCUCGGCAGAGGCAUCAUACGCUGCCCACACUGGCCCCUUCUGAAGUUCAAGAGGCUGGAGGCAUCAGGACUCACCGAGGUUGCUGACGUGGGUCAGGACAGGGUCCUGGCUUCCCCCUGUGGCCUGUGGACUCCUUCCCUGGGGCAACUGCCAAGGCCACGCUGUCUUUCCUCCCUGGGAGUCUGCCAGGGCAGCUAGGCAUGGAGCCUCUCGGGAAGCGGGGCUCUGGGCCAGGUGAAAGAAGUCUCCCCAAAGAAAGCUCCCUCCAGGACACACAGUGACCAGGCCCUGGGCUCACGGUACCUGUGGAGGGCUCAGUUACACCCAGGCUGCGUGCGAGUCUGUCUCCUGGCACAGUGGCUUGGGACCUCUCCAGGUUGCCAGGCGCAUUUUCCAGUCAGCUGCUGGGUCCCUUUAAGAGAGCUGGCCCCUCUUAUUGGCUGAGCAAGGCUCCUCCUACCUCUUUACCUGCACAGGUGACAGAAGCCGGGCUUAGGAACCCAGGUCUAGAAACAACGGCCAGCCCUUUAGUGAGCAGUGUGCACCACUAGUGCAUAGACUGUGGUCUCUAUUAUUUUCCUUGAAAAAUACACAGCUGAUUCUGCUUCUGGGCUGAGAACGUACAAUAUGUACUGAGACUAUUUUCCACUGCCACAAAUCAAGGACAACAUUGUGUCAGAGGGACAUGAAGAGACUAUCGUUGGUCAAAGUCAACAAUUUGAGCACCGGGAUCAAAUAUACUGAAAUGUUUACAGAUGGAAACAGUAUGAUGUCUGGG
rnacentral:lncRNA from 1 species